CUGCUGCAGCAGCCACCACACAUGGAGGGCGGAGGGACAGCCACCCUGUUGUGUAGCUCGGAGCAGCUGUGUCCUUCAGUGCAGGUCCAGCCAAGAGCCGUGGGCCACAGAUGACGCUGGUGGGGAAGCAGAGGGCAGACUAGGCAGAGGCAAGGCUUUCCUGUGCCCUGAGCUGUCAGAGAUGGGCCAGGGCCUUCAGCUUCCUCGAUAGGGCAGAAGUGACCACGCUGGCUCCAUUCAGCAAAGGACGUGGACGGAGCUGCCGGGCUUGUCUGAGAGGAGGAGAAAUGUGGAAUUGAGUGAGGCUCUCUAAGAAGGUUCUGCUGGAGUUGAGAAAAAUUAGGGUGAGGCACCUCCCCGAUUUUAUGUCCUUUUUCCUGGGUCCAGCCUCCUGAACAGCUACCAUUCGCUUCUGUGAGACACCUGUCGGUGCCUCCUUUUCCAGCCCUUAAUGGAACGUUCCUCUCCCAGCCACCUCAGACUUCCCAUACCACCCUCCCUGGACAGGAAGCGUUUUUACAGGAGUUUGAAGCUUCAGGAGUGCCCUCCGGCCACAUGAAGACAAGGCGCUAACAAACAUGGCGUUCUGCAAAUUGCACCAUCGCCAACUCCUGUCUUACUCUCACAGAGGUCUCUUGGGCUCUUCUGAGAAGGGUGAAUGAACUUGGUUGGAGGGAAGAGAGGGGUUUGGUGGCUCUUAGUAAAAUUGCUUCACGCAGUGACCUUUGGCAGUUUAGGAUAAUAACCUGUGCAGAGAGAGGGUCUCCUGUCCUGAAGUCACAGCCCGGAUCUCCAGGCUGGCUCUGCUGCCUCUGAAUGAUUUGUGGGUCACACACGCCAACAGCAUCGCCAAGGGCUGACAUCAGCCUGCUUGAGCCACGGAAACUGAAUGGGCAAGGAUGAGUUCCCCAGCACAGAGGGAGGCAUCCUCUGUCAAGACCAUCUGCGCAUGUGCUGUGCAGUCUCCAGUCUGCACUGUGAGCAGUGUGUCUCAACGGCUUUUGAGAACUGCUUCGAGAGGGGACCAGAUGCGCAGAGACAAGCUUCCAGCCUGGCUAGGGACGGACCCUCUGGGGAUGCUCCUCUCUGGCCGGGCAGCAGUAGAAGCACCUGCCUCCAUCCACAUCCAGACGCCAUUCCCUUUUCUUCACCGCUGCUUCCCAUCAGAUGGUCCCCAGGAGUGGCAACCUCCCACUUGGUCUCGCAGGAGUCCCAGUGCUUCUCAGGUGUGUGUGCCACAUCCCUCUUCUCUGAACACACAGUGGUCAGGGUGCCUGCACAGGGAAGGGCACCACAGUCCACCCUGGGAAAGGUCUUCAGUCUUCGGGAAAGAGCCUGUAAGCACCUUGACUGCUCUUCUUCUCUAGGGCAGAGAGCUUUCUUAUCCACAGGGGUCCUUAGUCAGAGAGAGGGAGCGCACUCGGUGAGCUCUUUCAGAGGCAGCAGAGCCCUCUGCCUCUCCCCAAAUCCCUGCUCCUACAAGUCGAAUUAAUCUCUCCUAGAAAUCCAAGUCCUAACUUCUUCCAGGCGUCUUUUUACAUCCACUGUUUGCAUAGCCCACCCUUUCUUCUUUGGAGGAUCCCCUCAGGUAACUUCCAUCUGCUCCUCAGUGUGUCUUACCCCUUCCUUCUGUUCUUUCUUCACCUCCCUCCCUCUCCACCUCCACACUGGACUAUAUCAAAUUCCUGUUCAUUUUUUAGCAUGGCCCAGUCAAAGCAGGUUAAUCUCUCAGUCAGCAGAGGACAUUUCACAAAAAUUGGGGCCGCUAAAUCACAAAAAUAUUCUCUAAGUCCAGGGCCAGCCCAGAAAAAAUGCCCCAAGUCCAGGCAGCCCCCCAGAGUCUGCCGCCGUCUGGAAAAUCCGGCUCAGCUCUUGCUCCUGCACAUCCUCUCCUUUCCAGUGCUCUGUGUCUGGUCCCUGUCCCACCUCCUCUCCUUUCCCCAGUGUCUUCUGUCUGAAUUCUGUGGGCCCAGGACAGCCCCAGCCUUCUCAAAGUCACCUGCAUGUCUCUUGGAUUAGGCAGCUGAGUGCAAGGUAACAACCAGAUCAUGCAUUUUCAUCUCUCCAUGGAUGGUUGGGGAUAGAGCAUCACAAGACAGGCAUUGUGGCUGGGUGUGUUGGCUCAUGCCUAUGAUCCCAGCACUUGGUGGGAGACCAAGGCAGGUGGAUUGCUUGAGCUCAGGAGUUCAAGACCAGCCUGGGUAACAUGGUGACACCUGAUCUCUACAAAAAAAUACAAAAAUUAGCCAGAUGUGGUAGUGCAUGCCUUUAGUUCCAGCUACUCAGGAAGCUGAGGUCAGAGGAUCACUUGAGCCCAGGAGAUCAAAGCUGCAGUGAGCCUAGAUUGUGCCACUGCACUCUAGCCUGUGGGACAGAGUGAGACCCUGAUUUUUUUUUUUUUUAAAGGCAGACAUGGUUCUUGCCUUCAUGAAAUUGACAUUGUAGUUGUGGGGAGGGGUGAGACACUAGUACAGUCUCUACAGUAAUAUAGGAGGUAAUGUGGGGCACGCUUUCGGAAGGAAAUAGAAUUGGAUGAUAGAAUAGGGUAAUCUGUGCUGGGGGCAGCAGGGAAAUGUCCUUGAAGGGGUGACAUUUGAGCCGAGGCCUGUAGGUGCUCUCCAUGGAAGAGCUGGGAGAGGAACACUCGGGGCAGAUGGGACAUUUUUUGCAAAGGCCCUGAGGCGAUACGAAGCUUGGUGUGAUGGAGAAACCGAAAGGAGGCCAGUGUGGCUGGGGGGGUGGGGUGGGAAUGAGCAUGAGGGAAGUGAUGGGAAACCAGGUCAGAGACGUGACAGCUGGGGGUGGAGGGGGUGGAGGGAAAACACAUGGUGCAGGGCCCUGUUGUCCAAGGUGAGGAUUUGGAUUUUAUUCCCAAAGUCAUAGGAAACUCUUGAAGGGUAUAAGGCAGAGGAGUAAGUGAUCUGAUGUAUGGGUUUCAUUUCUUUUAUCAUGUUUUAUUUUCUUUCUUUAUUUUUGUAUGAUGUGUGGGUUUUAAGGAUUCCUCUGGCUUCCUGUUUUGUGCAAGUGUCUUGCCCCACUGUCUGUCAAAACUUUCUUCUUUCCCUGCCAUUAGGGAAGCCCUCAUGAUUCAGCAGCUGCUCAUUUCUCUUUCUCUCUCUCUCUCUAUCUCUUCUGGCUUCACCGUCCUCCUGCAGUUGAAUCCAAAGCUCAUACCAAUCUCUGCACAACAGCCAAUAAAUCAAGAGACGAGAUAUUGGGGGAAGGAAAAAUGACAUUAUUUCAGAGAGCCAGCAGACUGAGGAGAUAGCAGACCUAGUGUCUUGAGAACAAUCUUAAGUAAUAGAAUUUUGGGCUCCUUUUACAUUAGGGAAGGGGGAAGAGAGUGAGGUUUAAGAUCAAGAGGUGACCGAUGAUAGCGGACAUCUGGGUGGCAGUGAGUGUCCGAGGAGGGGCACUGUGCAACUUCUUUGUCCUGCUGAGGUCACAAUGUUCCUAUAAAUCUUUAAUAUGAUGUAGCUGCUAGUGUGUACACCCUCCUUAUCUCCUUGGGGGUGAGUGUUGGGAAGGGAUUAUUGUCAUCCUUGCUUUAAAGUUAAACUGUAAACUAAAUUCUUCCCAUGAUUAGCUUGGCUGAUGUGCAGGAAUGACAAAGACCAUUAGCUUGUGAGGUUAGAAGCAGGGUGGAGUCAGCUAUGUCAGAUUCUGCUGUUACACUCCAUGCAGACCCACUUUCUAGAUGAGGAGGGGGAGCAUAAGUGUACUUUGCGUCUCUUGACUGUCCUCACAUCAUCUGCUUUUAUUAUUUUCUGUAAAUGUUUAUCAUGUCCUGGAUUUGAGUGAAUACCACAAGCUUCCUGGCAAGGAGAUGUUGAUAAAAAUGAGUACGGCUUUCCCCUUGAGUUUUGUCUCGCCUGGCCUCCUGCCCAUUCUUGACUAGAUGGAAGGGACCACAGGCUCUGAGGAUGAUCGAGGAAUCUCCACUUGGCGAAUAAGUCAAGCCACACGCGGUCUCGUGAUCCUUAGACCCCUUCAGUGUCCUCCUCUCCACUCUGGUCACCUAGGGGGCAUUCCUACCCUGCCCCUCUCCAGGUGUUCAGCCUGGGUAGGCGGGAGAAGGAGGAGGCGUUUCAGGUAUGGGAGUACGAACCUGGAGCAAGGCUGCGUUCCUCCUGCUUUCUGCCAGCUGGCCUCACCUUCCCCCUUUUACAGCCUUCCCGUCUGAUCUGGCAUGAGGAACGUCAGGCUUCCAUGACGCACCCCGCCCCUGUCACGUGCACAUCUUUCCUAGGGUUAACAGGGGAUCGUGCUGAAGACAGACUCUCCAGUGCUGCGGAGUAUUCAGAAGCCUUUACAUUGGCCAGUGUUUGUUCCCAGCCCUGCUGAGCCACCCCGUCUAGUAUCUCUGAAGAGUGGAGGGUGAUGCGGGUAUUUGGGAAGAGAGAGUGUGGGAUGGGAUGGGGGUAAGUACAUUGACAAAGCAUGUUUCAUGUUAUUUUAUAUUUGAAGAACAAAACCAAAAACAGUUGUUUGCAUGGCAUGAAGUGGUGAACGUCAGCUUUUGGUUUAUUUUUACGAAAGAUUGAGAGGUACCAAGAAGGGAAGAUGGCGGGCCAAGUCCAGCUGUCAGUGGGGGCUGUCCCCAACAUUUAUUUAGGCUGAGCUUCAAGCCUCUCUCCACGUCGCUAGUUCUUUCACAAUUCCACCCCAGUCCAGCGCCCUCUUCCAUUAGUAGAGCUGUCCAUAACCCAUGUGGGAACGCAUGUAGGAGCUAAACACGCAGGUUUUGAGGUUAGACUACUGGGAUUCACAUCUCAGUUCCCAUCCCAUUGCUAGCUCUGGGUUCCCUGGCAAGUGACUUAACCUGUAGCUAAGCCAUUAAACUCAUGAUUUCAGGGGUUAAAAGCGUGGAAUCUGGAGCUGGCCCUGUGGGCUGCAGUCCUGGCGGCUACUUGUUGGCUGUGUCACCUUGGGCAAGGGCACUCAUUUCUCUGGGCCUCAGUUUCCUCAUUUGUAGAACGAGGAGACUAAUAUACCUACCUUGUAGGUUUGCUGUGAGGAUUGAAAUGAAUAUGUAUAUGUUUGUGUGUAUGUGUAUUACACAUCUUUACACAACCACAUGUUGUGUGUAUACAUAUGUUUAUAGUUGUCUAUAAACAUACGUACUGGGCUGGGCUGGGGACAGUGACUUAUGCCUGUAAUCCCAGCACUUUGGGAAGCCGAGGUGGGCAGAUCGCUUGAGCCCAGGAGUUCCAGACCAACCUGGGCAAUAGGGCAAAAUCUCGCCUUUACAAAAUAUACAAACGAAUUAGCUGGGUGUGGUGGCAUGUACCUAUAUUUCCAGCCACUUUUGAGGCUGAGGUGGGAGGAUUGAUUGAACCCAGGAGGUUGAGGCUGAAGUGAGCUGUGAUUGUGUCACUGCACUCCAGCCUGGACGACAGAGCCAGACUCUGUCUCAAAAAAUCCCAUAUGUACGUAUGUAUGUAUAUGCCUGGUACAUAGCAAGUACUUAGAAUUGCUGGCUGUUACUGUUAUUAAUAUUUAUUUUUGUUUAGGGUAAGGCUAAAUUAUAUGUAAGAAAAAUAAGUCAAUUAAAAAAAAAAAAACCAGUGGCUCUGCCAGGUGUGGUGGCUCUGCCAGGUGUGGUGGCUCACACCUGUAAUCCCAGCACUUUGGGAGGCUGAGCUGAGUGCAUCACCUGAGGUCAGCAGUUCGAGACUAGCCUGGCCAACACGGCGAAACCCUGUCUCCACAAAAAAACACAAAAAAUUAGCUGGGUGUGGUGGCAGGCGCUCCAUAUCAAAAAAAAAAAAAAAAAAAAAAAAGAAGAAGAGCAAGUUUUCUGUCUCUGCUCUCUCUAUUGAGUUGGGAUGUCCAUCUUCUCCUGCCCUCAGACAUCAGUUCUCAGGCCUUCAGAUUUGGACUGAAUUACACCACCAGCUCUCCUGGUUCCCCAGCUUGCAGACAGAUGGGACUUCUCAGCCUCCAUAAUCACAUGAGCCAAUUCCCACAAUAAUCCUCCCUCUCUCUCAGAAUAAAUGAGGUAACAUAUGUGAGAACACUUUGCAAAAUGGCAGAAUACUCCUCUAUUGUAAAUUGUGUGAGAAACAAACUCUGCCAGGUGCCGUGGCUCACACCUGUAAUCCCAGCACUUUGGGAGGCCAAGGCAGGUGGAUCACCUGAGGUCAGGAAUUUGAGACCAGCCUGACUAACAUGGUGAAACCCGUCUCUACUAAAAAUACAAAAAUUAGCCGGGUGUGGUGGCGGGUGCCUGUAAUCCCAUCUACUCGGGAGGCUGAGGCAGGAGAAUCGCUUGAACCCAGUAGGUGGAAGCUGUAGUGAGCCAAGAUCACGCCACUGCACUGCAGCCUCGGUGGUGGUGUGGGAGGGGGUGGUUAAGGAAGCCCUGACUGAUAGGUGCCUGGCAGCUAGAUAAAAGGGAAAAAAGAAAAAGAAAAAGAAAAAGAAAAAACAAACACACUCACUUGUCCAAACCAAAGAAUGGACUUAGGGAUGGGAGAACAGCAGAAGCGAGACCUUAGUGGCUGCCUUGCAAGAUGGGGUGUCUGGCAUGCGGGCACACCUGCAACGAUUUCAACAAGCAAUUUAUUCCCAAGUGCACAAGUCCCUCCCCUAGUUCCUCACUGGCUGAGUACUAUUGGGUUACAAUCUUUCUGCAUGUCACCUAUUGAUAUUUGGGUUAAGGAUUUCAGUAUGUUCUUUAGGGUCUUUCUGCUGCAUUUUAUUGCAGCCCAUAAUGCAUUGCAACUGUCUCAGGACUCUUCAAACAUUUGAGUUAUGGCCAUAGUGACUGGACUUAGCUGAUAAGAAAGAGUACAAUUAUUUACUUUGCAAGCUAGCCUAAACUAAAUUCUUUUUUUUUUUUUUUUUUUGAGACGGAGUUUCACUCUUGUUGCCCAGGCUGGAAUGAAGUGGCGUGAUAUCAGCUCACUGCAACCUCUGCCCACCCGGUUCAAGCAAUUCACCUGCCUCAGCCUCCCGAGUAGCUGGGAUUACAGGUGCCCGGCUAAUUUUUGGAUUUUUAGCACAGAUGGGGUUUCACCAUGUUGGCCAGGCUGGUCUUGAACUCCUGACCACAGGUGAUCUGCCUGCCUUGGCCUCCCAAAGUGCUGGGAUUACAGUCAUGAGCCACUGUGCCUGGCCCAACUAAAUUCUUUGGAGGGGUGGAAGGGGAUGGUUAAGGAGGUCCUGACUGAUAGGCGCCUGGCAGCUAGAUGAAAGGGAAAGCAAGAAGCAGGAUGGGCAGGAGGGGGUGGGGGUGGGGGGGUGACUUAGUACAUUCUGCUUCUUUAUCUCUUUGUAGCCUGUUUAAACCUAUAUUAAGGCACUUAGAAUUGAAAAUGGACCACCACACAUAGGUUAUUUUCUGCAGUUGUAACCAGACAACUGAACUCUUUUUUUUUUUUGAGACCGGGUCUCACUCUGUCAUCCAGGCCGGUGUGCAAUGGCUCCAUCACGGCUCACUACAGCCUUGACCUCCCAGGCUCAAGCAAUCCUCCCACCUCAGCCUCCCAAGUAGCUGGGACUACAGGCGCACACCACUAUGCCUGGCUUAGUUUUAUAUUUUUUGCGGAGUUGAGGCUUUGCCAUGUUGCCCAGGCUGUUCUUGAACUCCUGGGCUCAAGCAAUCUGCCCGGCUUGGCCUCCCAAAGUGCUGGGAUUAUAGGCAUGAGCCAUUGUGCCUGGCCUCAACUGAACUCUACACAGGAGCAGUUCUCUUUUUUUUUAAGAUGGAGUCUCAGUCUGUCGCCCAGGCUGGAGUACAAUGGCGUGAUUUCGGCUCACUGCACCCUCUGCCUCUCAGGUUCAAGCAAUUCUCCUGCCUCAGCCUCCCGAGUAGCUGGGACUACAGGCAUGUGCCACCAUGGCUGGCUAAGUUUUGUAUUUUUAGGAGAGAGGGGGUUUCACCAUGUUGGCCAGGCUGGCCUUGAACUCCUGACCUCAAGCGAUGCUCUUGCCUCGGCCUCCCAAAGUGCUAGGAUUACAGGUGUGAGCCACCAUGUCCAGCCUAGGAGCAGUUCUUAACUUCUUUCCAGUGACCACACAAGGGACAGGUUAUGUCCAAAUGCUGGAUAGACUCCAAAGCAAUCUAGCUGCAACUUCUCCCAUCCUGCUCCUGCUCAAGAGAGGGAAUGUUGACAGCCUCCGAGUCAGAAGUUCCAAGGGGCAGAAGAGAUGCCUCUGUGCCUGUGGGCAUACCUUAGCUGUUCCCAGCUCCCCAGCUCCAGCCCAGGAGAGCAUCAUGCAGUCUCUCCAUUAGAAGCUCUGCACUCCCGUUCCCUUUCUGUGAUCUUUGCCUUCCCUGGUUCUGUCUGUCCCUUGGCAGUGAGCCCCUUGCCUUGCCCCCAACAGUGUGGCCCUCUCUCGAUUCCUUCUCCACCAACAUCCUUUCCCGGAGUAUAGGCAGCUGCCUGGAAACCUUGCUCUACUCUCAUUUUUUGUUGGGGAGUGGAGUGGUAACCUCUAAACAGAAAUCUUCUUGCUCCUUACUGAAGUUGCAGAGUCGGAGCUGGCUGUACCUCCUCUGGCUCUGCUCUAGGGACAGGCUUUCACACUGAGAUGGGCUGUGUCCAUUGGAAAGUUGGUAGUUGAUUACCUCUAUGAAAAAAAAACCUGAAAAAUUCCACCUUUUCUCCAGAACUGAUUCCACGAAUCUAACGUAUGGAUUCCCAAAUGCAGACCUUGGCUGCUUCCACAGUAUUCCUUUGACUUCUACAUUUAGGUACCUGGAGAGGCAUCUCGUGAGGCCAUGUAGAGUGGCAGGCAAGGGCAUGGACUGGGAUGCAGACUGCCUGGAUUCCAGCCUUGCUGGGCUCCCUCCAGCUGUGUGUGCUUGGACAAGUCCUGUAGUCUCCUGGGCUGUGGUUUCCUUCCCUCUAAAUGGAGGAAAUGAUAGUGCCCACCUCAUGGGCUUUUGUGAAGACUGAAUGGGUUGAUGUAUCUAAAACUUUUGGGCAGCUGAGUGCGGUGGCUCACGUCUGUAAUCCCAGCACUUUGGGAGGCCAAGGCGGGCAGAUCACCUGAGGUCAGGAGUUGGAGACCAGCUCGGCCAACAUGGUGAAACCCUGUCUCUACUAAAAAUACAAAAAUUGGCGACAGAAUGAGACUCCGUCUCAAAAAAAAAAAAAAAAAAUAGCUGGGCGUGGUGGGGGCGGCUCCUUUAAUUCCAGCUACUUGGGAGGCUGAGGCAGGAGAAUCACUCGAACCCGGGAGGCGGAGGCUUCAGUGAGCCAAGAUCAUGCCACUGCACUCCAGCCUGGGUGACAGAGCGAGACUCCGUCGCAAAAAUAAAUAAAUAAAUGUCUUGGGUCAGGAUCUGGGACACAGUCAGUACUGUGUGUUUUGUGUUUGUCCUUCCUCAUGGUAACCUGGAUUCCUUGAUCUCCCGGUAGGUCCACUCCUUCAUCACACCUGGGACUACUCUCAUAUUUGUUCCCUCCUAUCCUGAGUCCUAGUGGGUUUUCAUUUGCACUCCAGGGUUCAGCUGCAGACCCACCAGGUGAAGACCCACCAGCACACCUUGCCCUGCUUCUGGGCCACGUCUCUCCAGUGCACCUGCAGGAGACCUCUGUGGAUGCACCGUGUCUCCUAACACUGUCUCCAGCCCACACUGAGCUUGUCUUGCGUGGAAAUCUUUGUCUCUGCUGUUGCCUUUGCCUGGAGCGUCCUUGCCCCACACCCUCUCACAGCUGCCUCUCUGUCAUCUUUCCAAUGUCUGUCCUCAGAGAGCCCUUCCUGGCCACUCCAUCUAAAGGAGUCCUGGGCCAGGUGUGGUGGCCCACACCUGUAAUCUCAGAACUUUGGGAGACGGAGGUGGGAAGAUCACUUGAGGCCAGGGGUUCAAGACCAACCUGGGCAACAUACUGAAACCCCCAUGCCUAUAACAAUAAAAAAGGAAAAAAAGGGGUGGUGGUGCACACUUAGAAUCUCAGCUAUUCUGGUGGCUAAGGCUUGAGCCUAGGAGUUCGAGGCUGCAGUGAGCCAAGAUCGCACCACUGCGCUCCAGCAUGGGCAACAGAGUGAGACCCUGUAUCAAAAAAUAAAUAAAAAUAGGUCAGGUGCAGUGGCUCACUCAUGACUGUAAUCCCAGCACUUUGGGAGGCUGAGGCGGGCAGAUCACCUGAGGUCAGGAGUUCAAGACCAGCUUGGCCAACAUGGUGAAACCCCAUCUCUACAAAAAUACGCAUAGUCGGGCAUGGUGGCGGGUGCUUAGAGUCCCAGCUACUUGGGAGACUGAGGCAGGAGAAUCACUUGAACCUGGGAGGUGGAGGUUGCAGUGAGCCGAGAUCGCACCAUUGCACUCUAGCCUGGGCGACAGAGUGAGACUGUGUCUCAAAAAUAAAUAAAUAAAUAAAUAAAUAAAUAAAUAAAUAAAUAAAUAUAAAAAAGGAAUUCCCCUCUUCUUAUUACACUAAUCAAUUUGUUUUCUUCACGGUGCUUUACCAGAAUCUGAAAUUGUUCUAUUUAUUCAUCUUUUGUCAACAAUUCCUGGUAAGAGGUGCUACUCAGGUCACAGAAUUGGUUUUAGGUUGCUCUAGUAAAAACUUUUUGCUGUCUUUAGCAAAAAGAGCUGUGCACAUAGACAUACUUUCAGGUUAAACCAAUAUGUAUGUUUUUAAUUUGCUACCCCUUGCCACCUCUUGGCCUAGAAACAGGGAGGAGGAAGCCACGCUUUCAUUAUUAUUAACUAUCUCGGGCCUUUUAUUAGUUUGAUCAAGUAAUAAUCAUCUAAAGUGCAUCUCCUUUGUGGGGAGCCCAAAUUCCAGGCCGGAAAAGGUCCAACCGCUGUUCCUCCAACACCGGUGCUUUUCCAGAACGCGAACUUCACGAGAGCUGCCGCUUCCUGUCUUGUUCACCAAAACAUUCUCAGCAGCUUGAACAAGUCCUGGCCGGGAGCAGUUGAUGAAGGAGUGAAUGACAGGCAAAUUGGGAUGCGAGCAGGUGUCCAUGUCUCUGGACAAGGGAGUGUCUUUUUUUCCCCAAAUCCCUGCAACGAGAGCCUAAUAGAGUGCUUUAGAGCACAGGAAACCUUUGAAAUAGCGCCGAACUGUUGACGGAAAUGUAAAUUAAUACAGUUAUUAUGGAAAACAGUACGGAGUUUCCUCAGAAAAGUAAAAGUAGCACUGCCAUAUGAUCCAGAAAUCCCCCUGCUGGGUGUAAAUCCAAAGGAAUUGAAAUCAGUAUGUCAAAGAGAUGCCUGCACACCCAUGUCCAUUGCAGUGUUAUUCACAAUGGCCAAGAUGAGGA
rnacentral:lncRNA from 1 species